rnacentral:tRNA from 1 species
GGAGAGGUGCCAGAGCGGACGAUUGGGCCUGUCUCGAAAACAGGUGUAUCCUCACGGGUACCGUGGGUUCGAAUCCCACCCUCUCCG